rnacentral:rRNA from 1 species
GGGUUGUGAGGUUAAGCGACUAAGCGUACACGGUGGAUGCCCUGGCAGUCAGAGGCGAUGAAGGACGUGCUAAUCUGCGAAAAGCGUCGGUAAGGUGAUAUGAACCGUUAUAACCGGCGAUGUCCGAAUGGGGAAACCCAGUGCAAUUCGUUGCACUAUCGUUAACUGAAUACAUAGGUUAACGAGGCGAACCGGGGGAACUGAAACAUCUAAGUACCCCGAGGAAAAGAAAUCAACCGAGAUUCCCCCAGUAGCGGCGAGCGAACGGGGAGCAGCCCAGAGUCUGAAUCAGCUUGUGUGUUAGUGGAACGGUCUGGAAAGUCCGACGGUACAGGGUGAUAGUCCCGUACACCAAAAUGCACAGGUUGUGAACUCGAAGAGUAGGGCGGGACACGUGGUAUCCUGUCUGAAUAUGGGGGGACCAUCCUCCAAGGCUAAAUACUCCUGACUGACCGAUAGUGAACCAGUACCGUGAGGGAAAGGCGAAAAGAACCCCGGCGAGGGGAGUGAAAAAGAACCUGAAACCGUGUACGUACAAGCAGUGGGAGCACCUUCGGGUGUGACUGCGUACCUUUUGUAUAAUGGGUCAGCGACUUAUAUUCUGUAGCAAGGUUAACCGUAUAGGGGAGCCGCAGGGAAACCGAGUCUUAACUGGGCGUUAAGUUGCAGGGUAUAGACCCGAAACCCGGUGAUCUAGCCAUGGGCAGGUUGAAGGUUGGGUAACACUAACUGGAGGACCGAACCGACUAAUGUUGAAAAAUUAGCGGAUGACUUGUGGCUGGGGGUGAAAGGCCAAUCAAACCGGGAGAUAGCUGGUUCUCCCCGAAAGCUAUUUAGGUAGCGCCUCGUGAACUCAUCUUCGGGGGUAGAGCACUGUUUCGGCUAGGGGGUCAUCCCGACUUACCAACCCGAUGCAAACUACGAAUACCGAAGAAUGUUAUCACGGGAGACACACGGCGGGUGCUAACGUCCGUCGUGAAGAGGGAAACAACCCAGACCGCCAGCUAAGGUCCCAAAGUCAUGGUUAAGUGGGAAACGAUGUGGGAAGGCACAGACAGCCAGGAUGUUGGCUUAGAAGCAGCCAUCAUUUAAAGAAAGCGUAAUAGCUCACUGGUCGAGUCGGCCUGCGCGGAAGAUGUAACGGGGCUAAACCAUGCACCGAAGCUGCGGCAGCGACACUAUGUGUUGUUGGGUAGGGGAGCGUUCUGUAAGCCUGCGAAGGUGACCUGUGAGGGUUGCUGGAGGUAUCAGAAGUGCGAAUGCUGACAUAAGUAACGAUAAAGCGGGUGAAAAGCCCGCUCGCCGGAAGACCAAGGGUUCCUGUCCAACGUUAAUCGGGGCAGGGUGAGUCGACCCCUAAGGCGAGGCCGAAAGGCGUAGUCGAUGGGAAACAGGUUAAUAUUCCUGUACUUGGUGUUACUGCGAAGGGGGGACGGAGAAGGCUAUGUUAGCCGGGCGACGGUUGUCCCGGUUUAAGCAUGUAGGCUGGUUAUCCAGGCAAAUCCGGAUAAUCAAGGCUGAGGUGUGAUGACGAGGCACUACGGUGCUGAAGUAACAAAUGCCCUGCUUCCAGGAAAAGCCUCUAAGCAUCAGGUAACAUCAAAUCGUACCCCAAACCGACACAGGUGGUCAGGUAGAGAAUACCAAGGCGCUUGAGAGAACUCGGGUGAAGGAACUAGGCAAAAUGGUGCCGUAACUUCGGGAGAAGGCACGCUGGUGUGUAGGUGAAGUCCCUGCGGAUGGAGCUGAGACCAGUCGAAGAUACCAGCUGGCUGCAACUGUUUAUUAAAAACACAGCACUGUGCAAACACGAAAGUGGACGUAUACGGUGUGACGCCUGCCCGGUGCCGGAAGGUUAAUUGAUGGGGUUAUCCGUAAGGAGAAGCUCUUGAUCGAAGCCCCGGUAAACGGCGGCCGUAACUAUAACGGUCCUAAGGUAGCGAAAUUCCUUGUCGGGUAAGUUCCGACCUGCACGAAUGGCGUAAUGAUGGCCAGGCUGUCUCCACCCGAGACUCAGUGAAAUUGAACUCGCUGUGAAGAUGCAGUGUACCCGCGGCAAGACGGAAAGACCCCGUGAACCUUUACUAUAGCUUGACACUGAACAUUGAGCCUUGAUGUGUAGGAUAGGUGGAGGCUUGAAGCGUGGACGCCAGUCUGCGUGGAGCCAACCUUGAAAUACCACCCUUUAAUGUUUGAUGUUCUAACGUUGGCCCCUGACCGGGGUUGCGGACAGUGUCUGGUGGGUAGUUUGACUGGGGCGGUCUCCUCCCAAAGCGUAACGGAGGAGCACGAAGGUUAGCUAAUCCUGGUCGGACAUCAGGAGGUUAGUGCAAUGGCAUAAGCUAGCUUGACUGCGAGCGUGACGGCGCGAGCAGGUGCGAAAGCAGGUCCAUAGUGAUCCGGUGGUUCUGAAUGGAAGGGCCAUCGCUCAACGGAUAAAAGGUACUCCGGGGAUAACAGGAGCUGAUACCGCCCAAGAGUUCAUAUCGACGGCGGUGUUUGGCACCUCGAUGUCGGCUCAUCACAUCCUGGGCUGAAGUAGGUCCCAAGGGUAUGGCUGUUCGCCAUUUAAAGUGGUACGCGAGCUGGGUUUAGAACGUCGUGAGACAGUUCGGUCCCUAUCUGCCGUGGGCGCUGGAGAAUUGAGGGGGCGCUACUAGUACGAGAGGACCGGAGUGGACGCAUCACUGGUGUUCGGGUUGUUCAUGCCAAUGGCACUGCCGGUAGCUAAAUGCGGAAGAGAUAAGUGCUGAAAGCAUCCUAAGCACGAAACUUGCCCCGAGAUGAGUUCUCCCUGAGACUUUAAGUCUCCUGAAGGAACGUUAAAGACGAUGACGUUGAUAGGCCGGGUGUGUAAGCGCAGCGAUGCGUUGAGCUAACCGGUACUAAUGACCGUGAGGCUUAACCUUACAACGCCGAAG